UUUCCGUAGGUGAACCUGCGGAAGGAUCAUUAACAAAACAAUAAAAAAUCCACCUUUGGAAAAAAUCCUGGAGAAGAAAUUCAGAAGGGUUUUUUCCUUAAGCAAACAGUGAACUUUGUUAAAGUUUAUAAUAAGAUCUACAGAAAGGUAGUAUCUUUUUUUAAAAACAAAACUUGUUUAAUUAUUUUGUCUUAUCCUUCUUAAACUGAAUUAGGUCUUCGCGGAUCUCUUUUAGAAAGAAUAUUUAAACCAAAAGUAACAACUUUUAACAACGGAUAUCUUGGCUCUU
rnacentral:misc_RNA from 1 species